UACGGAGGGUGCAAGCGUUAUCCGGAAUCACUGGGUUUAAAGGGUGCGUAGGUGGCAUCGUAAGUCAGAAGUGAAAGUUUGCGGCUUAACCGUAAAAUUGCUUUUGAUACUGCAAUGCUUGAAUCAGGUUGAGGUUGGCGGAAUGUGGCAUGUAGCGGUGAAAUGCUUAGAGAUGCCAUAGAACACCGAUUGCGAAGGCAGCUGACUGGACCUGUAUUGACGAUGAGGCACGAAAGCGUGGGGAGCGAACAGG
rnacentral:rRNA from 1 species